GGCUUAGUCUGGGCUGAGAGGGGACCCCAGGGAGCUGUCCCAGUGAGACAGGGUCCCUGCAGCUGCUCCAUCCCCCUGGGCAGUCCUUGAGCCAGGCUUCCCCCAGAGAAAAAGUCACAGAGGACAAGAGUAGAAACAAAAUCACCAGCACCCUGCUCUUUAACAAGCAGCCUUGGGAAUGGGGUCCCUGAGAGCUUCCCAACUAGAAAGUACCCUGCUGUGCCUGGGCCUCUGCCGCCUGGCCCAGCCUGCCUGCCGGUGGGCACUGUGAGCCGCUCCCAUAGACAUCGGCUGCAUAAUCAUCACAGCGAGGCCUGGAAAUGAAGGACAAAUGUGCCUGCUGGAAGAUGGGAGUCUAGAAAAAUAAACACAGCCAGGCUUCAGUGAUCUGGCGUGGCUGCAAUAAACAAUUGCUCCUGAUCACGAGGGCACAUCCCCAGCUACUCAGGAGGCUGAGGCAGGAGGAUUGCAAGUUUGAGGACAGUCUGAGCAACUUACCCAGACCCCGCCUCAAAAGAAAUGAAAAGGCAGAGGAGGAGAAGGAGAAAAUUUGCCUUCUGUGAGCUUUUGACAUGAAGUUGCCUCUAAAUCCCAAAGUGAUAAGGCCAAAGUAGAGAAGUGUCCAGCAGCUGCCUCUCUCUCCACAGAUUCGCAUAGCCUGGGAUGAGCUUCGAUUUCUCCCUAAAUCUAUGGGAAAAUAAACCAGAGCCAG
rnacentral:lncRNA from 1 species